AGCCCUGUGAUCUGGCCCUGGGAUCACGGCUGCACAUAGAAACCCACCAUUAAGCGCUCUGCAGUUGCCCAGCUCACUGGGAGCUCUGCCCGAGUGAGGACUGCAUGGACCAGACUGUGGAAAUGUAUGUGACGUCAGACAGGGGUAAUGUAAUGCUGGGGGUGGCCCCUGGGGAGGGGGCAGUGGUGGACUCCAGGGUCCUGGGGCAUAUGGAGAUUGGAGGCUGAGUUUCAAUUUGGACACGAAUAAGGAACCAGAUGACAAAUCUCGCCUCCGCCCUUCCCCUUCCAGUUGUGUCACCCCCACAUUGCUGCUUCGUGUGCUUGUAUUCAGGGUUAAAUAAAAGAUCAAAAGAAACAAAGGGUGUGAGAGGGAGUUGGGGAUCGGGGC